rnacentral:rRNA from 1 species
UACGGAGGGGGGCAAGCGUUGUUCGGAAUUAUUGGGCGUAAGGGGCGCGUAGGCGGUUUGACAAGUCUGAUGUGAAAUCUAUGGGCGUCAACCCAUAGCCUGCAUUAGAAACUGUCGGGCUUGAGUAUGGGAGAGGUGAGUGGAAUUUCCGGUGUAGCGGUGAAAUGCGUAGAUAUCGGAAGGAACACCUGUGGCGAAAGCGGCUCACUGGACCAUAACUGACGCUGAGGCGCGAAAGCUAGGGGAGCAAACAGG